UCAAGUGGCUUGCCUUAACUCGCUGAUAGGUAUCGCACUCUGAAACAUAUAGAGCAAUGUCAGGUUUCAUCCCAUUCCACCAGAAAUUUUGUCGGAGGUCAUGAUACAUCUUGGUACUGCCGGGGUGAAUCGAGAACUUGGACAUGUGUGCUUCGUCCAGAAUUUGUUUCUUAAGGUCGGGAUCAUUUGCAACUACAAGUCGAGUUUCAUAAAAUACCACUCCUUUCCAAUCCCGUCGGAAACGUUUAUAUCAUUCGUCCUCCUGUGCAAGUUUC
rnacentral:lncRNA from 1 species